ACAUUGGGAUGGGGACGUUGGGAUGGGGACGUUGGGAUGGGGAACCCCCAUGUAUGGGUUUAGGGUCCCCAUCAGGAGCCCUAAACCAGGGGUCACCCCAUUUUAUAGGGUCUCUAUGGCCACUCACAGCCUCUGUCCCGUUGGUUCCGGGCCAUUCCGUUGGGGCGAACGUUUCCUCCUCACCCCGCGACAGCUCCGGCCCUUCGUCCUCGUACUCAGUGAGAAGUCGGCCGAGCGUCGGUCCUUCACCAUGUUCUCAAUGAUGUCGCCCCGACUCCAGCCAUCGAAGACCACCUUGCCGUGCUGGUAACCCACAUCCUAUGGGGAGAAUGAAUGGUCACAGACCACCUUG